rnacentral:rRNA from 1 species
AGGGUUUGAUCAUGGCUCAGGACGAACGCUGGCGGCGCGCCUAACACAUGCAAGUCGAACGGGGUUAUACCGAAUGAAGUUUUCGGAUGGAAUUUGGUAUAACCUAGUGGCGGACGGGUGAGUAACACGUGAGCAACCUGCCUAUCAGAGGGGGAUAACGAUUGGAAACGAUCGCUAAUACCGCAUGACAUAGCGGAACCGCAUGGUUCUGUUAUCAAAGAUUUUAUCGCUGAUAGAUGGGCUCGCGUCCGAUUAGAUAGUUGGUGGGGUAACGGCCUACCAAGUCGACGAUCGGUAGCCGGACUGAGAGGUCGAACGGCCACAUUGGGACUGAGACACGGCCCAG